UUUCCGUAGGUGAACCUGCGGAAGGAUCAUUAUUGUAUAACCGAGGUGCGAGGGCUGUCGCUGACCCGAAAGGUCGUGCACGCCAGAGUGCCCCCACACACAUCCAUCUCACCCCUAUGUGCACCACCGCGUGGGUCCCCCUUUGGCUUGUUCGGAGGGGGGCUUACGUUUUCACACAAACUUUGUAUGCAGUGUAGAAUGUAUUUUUUGUUUUUGCGAUCACGCAAUCAAUACAACUUUCAACAACGGAUCUCUUGGCUCUC
rnacentral:misc_RNA from 1 species